rnacentral:rRNA from 1 species
UACGUAGGGUCCGAGCGUUGUCCGGAUUUAUUGGGCGUAAAGAGCUCGUAGGCGGCUCAGUAAGUCAGAUGUGAAAACUCAGGGCUCAACCCGGAGACGCCAUCUGAUACUGCUGUGGCUUGAGUCUGGUAGGGGAUCACGGAAUUCCUGGUGUAGCGGUGAAAUGCGUAGAUAUCAAGAGGAACACCUGCGGCGAAGGCGGGUUGCUGGGCCGACACUGACGCUGAGGCGCGAAAGCUAGGGGAGCGAACGGG